GAUGAACGCUGGCGGCGUGCCUAACACAUGCAAGUUGAGCGGUCUUCUUCGGAAGAGAGCGGCGGACGGGUGAGUAACGCGUGGGUAACCUACCCUGUACACACGGAUAACAUACCGAAAGGUAUGCUAAUACGAGAUAAUAUAUUUCAUUCGCAUGUUUGAAAUAUCAAAGCUCCGGCGGUACAGGAUGGACCCGCGUCUGAUUAGCUAGUUGGUGAGGUAACGGCUCACCAAGGCGACGAUCAGUAGCCGACCUGAGAGGGUGAUCGGCCACAUUGGAACUGUGACACGGUCCAAACUCCUACGGGAGGCAGCAGUGGGGAAUAUUGCACAAUGGGCGAAAGCCUGAUGCAGCAACGCCGCGUGAGCGAUGAAGGCCUUCGGGUCGUAAAGCUCUGUCCUCAAGGAAGAUAAUGACGGUACUUGAAGAGGAAGCCCCGGCUAACUACGUGCCAGCAGCCGCGGUAA
rnacentral:rRNA from 1 species